UCAAAUUUUAAGUGAGCAUGCGAGAGGAGAGAAAACCAAUAGAUGGCAGCACUGUUACGUGUAACGUGUUACUGUCAAGUUAUCACCAUUCUAUCCAUACUCCAAGGAAUAUUUUAUACAAUGUGCAUAAUCAUCAAGUUAAUUCCCAUCAAAUUUCCAUAUGAAUUUGUGUUUAGAUUAAAAUAUGUGACUACAAAUGGCUAUUUAUAGGGUAUCCCACUAUAUUUAUAAAUAUUAUAGUUGGCUCAAAUUCUGGGUUUUCAGAAGGGUUGUUGUGCCUCAGUAUUUGGGGUGUGUAGUGGCAAACGAUACAGACAACAAAUGUAUGCAUGACUGAUGUGCACAAAUAUGA